GACGUAGGGUCCAAGCGUUAUCCGGAUUUACUGGGCGUAAAGCGCGCGUAGGCGGUCUGUUAAGUGCACAAGUGAAAGCUCCGGGCUCAACUCGGAAAUUGCUUUGCAUACUGGCAGGCUGGAGGGACGCAGAGGUCUGUGGAAUUCCCGGUGUAGUGGUGAAAUGCGUAGAUAUCGGGAGGAACACCAGUGGCGAAGGCGGCUUUCUGGCCCGUUCUUGACGCUGAGGCGCGAAAGCUAGGGUAGCAAACGGG
rnacentral:rRNA from 1 species